rfam:Coniosporium apollinis CBS 100218 chromosome Tnknown supercont1.2, whole genome shotgun sequence.
GGGUCCGUAGAUCAGUGGUAGAUCGCAUGACUACGAAUCAUGAGGUCGUCGGUUCGAGACCGGCCGGACCCU